rnacentral:rRNA from 1 species
CGGGUGAGUAACGCGUGAGUAACCUGCCUUACACAAGGGGAUAGCCUUUGGAAACGAAGAAUAAUACCCUAUAAAACCAUAAAAGCACAUGCUAGAAUGGUCAAAGUGCUAGCGGUGUAAGAUGGACUUGCGUCUGAUUAGCUAGUUGGUGAGAUAAAAGCUCACCAAGGCAACGAUCAGUAGCCGGCUUGAGAGAGUGUACGGCCACAUUGGGACUGAGACACGGCCCAG